rnacentral:rRNA from 1 species
GAUGAACGCUGGCGGCGUGCCUAAUACAUGCAAGUCGAGCGAACAGACGAGGAGCUUGCUCCUCUGACGUUAGCGGCGGACGGGUGAGUAACACGUGGAUAACCUACCUAUAAGACUGGGAUAACUUCGGGAAACCGGAGCUAAUACCGGAUAAUAUAUUGAACCGCAUGGUUCAAUAGUGAAAGACGGUUUUGCUGUCACUUAUAGAUGGAUCCGCGCCGCAUUAGCUAGUUGGUAAGGUAACGGCUUACCAAGGCAACGAUGCGUAGCCGACCUGAGAGGGUGAUCGGCCACACUGUAACUGAGACACGGUCCAGACUCCUACGGGAGGCAGCAGUAGGGAAUCUUCCGCAAAGGGCGAAAGCCUGACGGAGCAACGCCGCGUGAGUGAUGAAGGUCUUCGGAUCGUAAAACUCUGUUAUUAGGGAAGAACAAAUGUGUAAGUAACUAUGCACGUCUUGACGGUACCUAAUCAGAAAGCCACGGCUAACUACGUG